GACGAACGCUGGCGGCGUGCUUAACACAUGCAAGUCGAGCGGUAAGGCCCUUUCGGGGGUACGACGAGCGGCGAACGGGUGAGUAACACGUGGGUGACCUGCCUUUAGCUCUGGGAUAAGCCUGGGAAACUGGGUCUAAUACCGGAUAUGACCCUAUGGCGCAUGUUGUGGGGUGGAAAGCCUUGUGCGGCUAGGGAUGGGCCCGCGGCCUAUCAGCUUGUUGGUGGGGUGAUGGCCUACCAAGGCGACGACGGGUAGCCGGCCUGAGAGGGCGACCGGCCACACUGGGACUGAGACACGGCCCAGACUCCUACGGGAGGCAGCAGUGGGAAUCUUGCGCAAUGGGCGAAAGCCUGACGCAGCGACGCCGCGUGAGGGAUGACGGCCU
rnacentral:rRNA from 1 species